GACGGGGGGUCCUAGCGUUGUUCGGAAUCAUUGGGCGUAAAGCGUGUGCAGGUGGUUUGGUAAGUUGGAUGUGAAAGCCCCGAGCUUAACUCGGGAAGUGCAUUCAAAACUACCAAACUUGAGUAUGGAAGAGGGUCGUGGAAUUCCAGGUGUAGUGGUGAAAUACGUAGAUAUCUGGAGGAACACCGGCGGCGAAGGCGGCGACCUGGUCCUAUACUGACACUCAUACACGAAAGCGUGGGGAUCAAACAGGG
rnacentral:rRNA from 1 species